UAGAAGGCUCAGAUCUGAUGUGGAAGUCCCUCGCGCUGAUAACGAACGAUGCGGAGGAGAGAGUAGAUCCAUUCCCAACCAGAUUCAGCUUCACGGAGGCUCCGGUGGCGGCUGAAGUGAUAUUGAGUGAGAGACCCGAGUCAAAAGAGGUCAGCGCGGCGGAGAGAGCAUGCCUCGACGGCAAGGAAGAUCUGCGGAGUACUCCGAUCAUUUACGGAGACUGUGGCGGCGGAGGGGGAUGGAGUAAGGUGGUGAAGUAGAGCGGCGUUGAUGGAGGUGAGAGAGGCGGACAGAGUCUGAGUCCGCCUUGAGGCACCAAGGACGGAUCGGCGGAGAACUGUGCUGAUCAUUUUCAGAUCUAGAGGAGGGAGGUGAGAUGAGAAGGAAAAUGUUUGACAGAGAAAACCCAAAUUAGGGUUUUAGGGUUUUAGUGAGGGGCCUUUAAAGAAGAAGAAGGCAGGUGGCAACUUGAAAGUAUCUACGCCUCCUACAAGUAUUAAAAAAAAAAAAAAAAAGAAGAUAUUUUGUUAUAAUCGCCUGCAGGUGAGUGUAUGGUAUACUCCUGUACCUGCUGCGCGAGUUUAUUUUUCCUUGAGCCCAGAGGUGUGAACAAAGUGGGCCGAGUUACUUGGUGCGUAAAUAAUUCCGGAUUUUAUAAAUACUAAUUUGAAAUUGUCAUAAUUUGAAUUGGUUAUUUUGACUUUUAACUAAUGUUAAUUAAUUUUAAAAAUAUCUGUUCAAUGUGCAUAUCUAACCUACUACUCGGCUGGGAAAUGAGAAUCAUUUUACUGACAAAAUAGAUCCACUCUUUUUCAAAGCUGUAAACUACUCGCGCUUAUGAAGAUUUUCAUGGCGGCUUCAACCAUAGUAUGACUCUGUACAUGGGAUGCCGUGAAGACUGAUAACAAGUCUGGUGAUCACUGAGACUAAACUUGCUCUGAGCAAGCGUGGGAUCGAGGUAAUUGUGUCCCAAGGCCAUUGCUCAACUUAUUGGAUUGUGUUUUUCCAAUUCUCUACUCUGCUUCACAGCAUUAGAAUUCAUAUGGUACUACUUAUUAAUGAAAACAUUCAAAAGACUAACUAUGAUAUAUUGCAAGUCUAUUUUGUUUUGUCAAGCAAUUUCAAUAGAAAAAUCAUCUAACAAACACAUAAUGAAUUGGCAUAUAACAUUGCGCACCAAAAUUCAAACUAAAACCAUGUAUAGCUGACUUAUCUGUUGAAUCCCGUAAGAUUCAGACAUUAUUGCAGGAUCAGGUCAAAACCCCCACCUGUAAACAUUCUCAGAAACGAUAUCUCUAAGCCCUGUCUCACUUGCUGCCUAACACAGGAGACAUAUCCAAACGGGUCUUGCAGUGGAACUGCAGCUCGUACUGAGCUCCGAGGAUACGGUAACGCUUCAACCAAAACAGCUUGUUGCUCAGCUCGUGGCUCUGAGCUUUGAUGACAAGAAACCGUUUCUUGAACCUCAUCUCGAACUGCUCUCUGGACUUCUUGUCGACGUGAGGGGAACGAAGCACCGUGUACAAGGUCCUUGUGUCGGGCAUGGCGGCGUAGCGACUGUGAGGAGGAAGACACCAAGCUUCCUUCUCCGGGUUAUCGAAUGAACGGAUCGCAAUGCAGAUCCUCGUUCCUUUGAUCUUUGAUGUGCUUUCUCCUCCUCCUUUCUUCUAAUUUAAAACCGCAACACACAAGAAAGAAGCAACGGUUCAUAACUGUAUUAGAAUCAUCUAAGAACGAGUUUUAGAGAAGGAAAUGGUACCUUCUUGCUCAAUGGUUUGACAUUCUCCGGAGAGAUUUUGAUCUUAGCUGAAUCUCCGAUGCUGCUUUCACUCCCUGUGGCGUAACCUCGAAACGAGAUCUUCGCCGGGGAAACCAUAGAAGGCUCAGAUCUGAUGUGGAAGUCCCUCGCGCUGAUAACGAACGAUGCGGAGGAGAGAGUAGAUCCAUUCCCAACCAGAUUCAGCUUCACGGAGGCUCCGGUGGCGGCUGAAGUGAUAUUGAGUGAGAGACCCGAGUCAAAAGAGGUCAGCGCGGCGGAGAGAGCAUGCCUCGACGGCAAGGAAGAUCUGCGGAGUACUCCGAUCAUUUCAGAUUCGACGGCCACGAAGACGAGAAAUGAGACAGAGCGAGAGAGAAGAAGGAAUUUUUUAACAAAAAAACGU
rnacentral:lncRNA from 1 species